rnacentral:rRNA from 1 species
GAUGAACGCUGGCGGCGUGCCUAAUACAUGCAAGUCGAACGCGCAGCGAGAGGUGCUUGCACCUUUCAAGCGAGUGGCGAACGGGUGAGUAACACGCGGAUAACCUGCCUCAAGGCUGGGGAUAACAUUUGGAAACAGAUGCUAAUACCGAAUAAAACUUAGUAUCGCAUGAUAUCAAGUUAAAAGGCGCUACGGCGUCACCUAGAGAUGGAUCCGCGGUGCAUUAGUUAGUUGGUGGGGUAAAGGCUUACCAAGACAAUGAUGCAUAGCCGAGUUGAGAGACUGAUCGGCCACAUUGGGACUGAGACACGGCCCAAACUCCUACGGGAGGCUGCAGUAGGGAAUCUUCCACAAUGGGCGCAAGCCUGAUGGAGCAACGCCGCGUGUGUGAUGAAGGCUUUCGGGUCGUAAAGCACUGUUGUAUGGGAAGAAAUGCUAAAAUAGGGAAUGAUUUUAGUUUGACGGUACCAUACCAGAAAGGGACGGCUAAAUACGUGCCAGCCGCCGCGGUAA